GCCGUCAAGGGAACGGCCUCCACCACCCCCACCCCACCGCAGACGGAGGCCCAGCGAGGAGGGCAGGGUGCGGGAUGGGUGGCCACACAGCGAGGAGAAGGCCGGCGGAGGUUCCGCACCGCCGCCGCAGGUCACUGGAGAAGGCCCCUCCUGCAUGGCGGGCCUGCGCCCAAUCCCAGGCUCCGGGACUGCAGUGCAUGGCCGUACCCGGCGAGGCCGGCGUGUCGAGGCCUUGCUCACUGCAGCGCGUGCCGGCUUCUCUCGCCCUGCAGGACGGGGAGGUUUACUGCAUCGACGCGCGGUUCUACGGGAACGUCAGCCGGUUCAUCAACCACCACUGCGAGCCCAACCUGGUGCCCGUGCGCGUGUUCAUGGCCCACCAGGACCUGCGGUUUCCCCGGAUCGCCUUCUUCAGCACCCGCCUGAUCGAGGCCGGCGAGCAACUCGGGUUUGACUAUGGAGAGCGCUUCUGGGACAUCAAAGGCAAGCUCUUCAGCUGCCGUUGCGGCUCCCCCAAGUGCCGGCACUCGAGCGCGGCCCUGGCCCAGCGUCAGGCCAGCGCGGCCCAGGAGGCCCAGGAGGAUGGCUUGCCCGACACCAGCUCCGCGGCUGCCGCCGACCCCCUAUGAGACGCCGCCGGCCAGAGGGGCGCUCGGGAGCCAGGGACCGCCGCGUCUCCGUUUAGAGGACGAGGAGGAGAGAUUCCGCACGUGACUGAAAGGUCCUUCGGGGCUGCGCCGCCGGCUUCCUGGAGGGG
rnacentral:sRNA from 1 species